rnacentral:sRNA from 1 species
GCUGAGCACAGUGUAUCUGUAAUCCCAGCUACUUGGGAGGCUGAGAUAGGAGGAUCACUUGAGCCCAGGAGUUGGAAGCCAGCCCAGGCAACAAAGUGAGGCCCUGUCUAAA